rnacentral:rRNA from 1 species
AUUGAACGCUGGCGGCAGGCCUAACACAUGCAAGUCGAACGAGUGGCGGACGGGUGAGUAAUGUCUGGGAAACUGCCUGAUGGAGGGGGAUAACUACUGGAAACGGUAGCUAAUACCGCAUACCAUCAGAUGUGCCAAGAUGGGAUUAGCUAGUAGGUGGGGUAACGGCUCACCUAGGCGACGAUCCCGAGCUGGUCUGAGAGGAUGACCAGCCUAAUGGGAACUGAGACACGGUCCAGACUCCUACGGGAGGCAUCAGUGGGGAAUAUUGCACAAUGGGCGCAAGCUUGAUGCAGCCAUGCCGCGUGUAUGAAGAAGGCCUUCGGGUUGUAAAGUACUUUCAGCGGGGAGGCGUUACCCGCAGAAGAAGCACCGGCUAACUCCGUGCCAGCAGCCGCGGUAAUUC